AUGACGAACCAGGUAGCAUCUGAGGUUAUUGAGAUCAUAGAAGACGACGAUUCUGUAGGUGAAGAAUGUUGGGGAUUGCUUGAGGCCAGUUCUGAGUUUAAUUUAGAAGAUUAUCUCAAUGAAGGUGGAGAUGGAAUUCUAGCGGCACCUUCCUUUUUUCCUGAUGGAGAUGGAAUUUUAGCAGCACCAAAUCAUACUAUCAUCAAUAGAAAGAAUGUCACUCUUGCACUUGAUCUUGAUGGCACCCUUAUCCAUUCAUCAAGGUAUGACCAGGGCGCAGACUUUUCAUUCCCUAUGCGCCAAGGAGAAGAAGAGUACACUGUCUACGUGAAGAAGAGACCACAUGUGGACGCCUUCCUUGAAGAGGCAGCUCAUAUGUUUGAACUUGUUGUGUUUAUGGCUAGCGUUUUCCGGCAACUGGUGAAUAAUGGGAUACCCAUAAAGAGAUGGUCAAGUGACCCGUCUGACAUUUCACUGCUUGAGCUGAUCCCCUUCUUGGAAACAAUUGCUGACACAGAUGAUGUCGGGCUGAUCAUUGCAAACAAAUUUUCCAGUUAA
rnacentral:rRNA from 1 species